GCCUCUGCUCCCCACUCGGCUGUAAGCCCAGUCCACAGACCCUGUCCAAGUCCACUGGGGCAAGAAAAAGAGUAGAAUGGAAGCCAAGGGAUAGGCCACGCAACAAACUAGCAGCAGAGCUAACAGUAGGACCAAAGUCGUCUCCCGCCCUCAAUGAACUUCUAAUCUAUUUGGUAACAGAAGACAUAUCCACAAUAAACAAAGCUGAUCUAGGUACCACAUGAGCAAGUACCAGCUAUGCGACAAUGGAAAAAGCGCCAAAAUAAGAACACAUCAGAUAGAAGGGUAAAUAGCCAAUAAUGUCUUCUCUUUAAAUCCAUGGUCAAACACACCAAAUGCAGCCAUUUCAGCAUGACCAAAAGGCGUACUUUGUGGAACAAGGCUCCCCAGCCUGUUUUUUGGCUUUAAAAUAAGACCCUGCCGAUCCUGAUCUCGUCUUUGCAAACGCAUGGCACUGGGAGACAGAGACCAUGUGCAACAACAACUCUGUACAGACAAAGCCACUAUUCAUGGACCCUACUGAAGUGCAAUCGUAGAUUUUCAAUUUCAUUCAGCUGAGUGCGGAAGGCUCCCACUAUGAGGGUGGGUUGCUAAAUGGUUCAGCUGGGAAAAGCACCCAGAAUGAGAGUCAGCUUUACAGUCUGCACUUUCAUGAGGAGAAAUGAAAGCGAUUCCCUCACUCCAACUGCAGUUUUACAGUAAAGACCUAAUCUAGCAAAUCAGCCAAGGGCACUGAGUGAUUUUUUUCUGUAUCACAUUGGUACCCAGAGCAUAGCUUUUUUUUGUUGUUGUUAGGGCGGUUGCUAGGGUAAGUACCAAGAAAGCAGCUCAGUAAUUCAUGGAGUUAAAACUUCCACAAGAGGGGACGGAUAAUGUUGGUCCCUCAAGCCCUCAGCUAGACCAGACAAGUUUUCUCCUUUCUCGGAAUACAAUAUGCAUAUUUUUACCUUCAAGUCCUUCCUUACCUCACACCACUGCUUUAGUUCCACUCAUUCUCUGGGGUCUAGUUAAAUGAAGACAGCUGACACUUAUCCAGCAUGCACUG